UACGAAGGGGGCUAGCGUUUUUCGGAAUCACUGGGCGUAAAGCGCACGUAGGCGGACCGAUAAGUUGGGUGUGAAAGCCCAGGGCUCAACCUUGGAAAUGCCUCCAAUACUGUCGGUCUCGAGUUCGGGAGAGGGGAGUGGAAUUCCUGGUGUAGAGGUGAAAUUCGCAGAUAUUAGGAAGAACACCAGUGGCGAAGGCGGCCAACUGGCCGGUGACUGACGCUGAGACGGGAAAGCGUGGGGAGCAAACAGG
rnacentral:rRNA from 1 species